rnacentral:lncRNA from 1 species
GUGAUUGUAAACCAAAGACGCUCCACGCAUCGUGAGCAACUCAUCAUGAGAAUAUGGCGGCUGCGGCUGCGGGUGAUCUACUUUACUUCUAACCGCUCCUGCCGCGGUUGAGGAUGAGGUAAACAAAGUGAGGUCUAACGAAUUUUCUCUUCCACUUGCGUUUUUGCUACAACAACGUUGGAGCUUAUAUGAUGAUGUCCCGUUGUUGUUUUUCUCAGGGCCUACACCUAAGCGGAGCCAAGAUUUGUCUCUGUUACCGUCUUCUAGGUUAGUAGAAGCAACGACGUCGUUCUUGGAGGCGGAUCCGUCGUCUUCGUUGGCCGGAUUAUAAUAAUAUUCAUU